GUAGUCUGCAACUCGACUACAUGAAGCUGGAAUCGCUAGUAAUCGCAGAUCAGAAUGCUGCGGUGAAUACGUUCCCGGGUCUUGUACACACCGCCCGUCACACCAUGGGAGUCGGGAAUGCCCGAAGUCAGUGACCCAACCGCAAGGAGGGAGCUGCCGAAGGCAGGCUCGAUAACUGGGGUGAAGUCGUAACAAGGUAGC
rnacentral:rRNA from 1 species